rnacentral:lncRNA from 1 species
UGAGCCCCCGUGCCUCCUCUAGGUGUCUUUAUUCUAGCUGGGGUGUGAAAUAAAGGUCAGAACAACAUGACACGUCAAAGCCCUUCCAUCUGCUUCAACAGGGAGGGUGCGUAGUGGGUGGAUGGCAGUUCCAGACCAGCUUCUCCCAACAGCCUUGUAGUCCAGCAGAGCUGCCCUCCAGCUCCGGCUCAAUUUUCUUGGCCAGCUGCUUCCCCAGCUCCACUCCCCACUGGUCAAAGCUGUUGAUGUCCCACAUGAUGCCCUGAACAAAGAUCUUGUGCUCAUACAUGGCAAUCAAGGCCCCCAGAAUGAAGGGUGUUAGCUUGGUAAACACAAUAGAGUUGGUCGGGCGGUUUCCUUCAAAGACCUUGUGUGGCAAGAGUUUCUCCAAGUCUUCUGGGCUCUUUCCGGCAGCCUGGAGCUCCUUCCUGGCCUCUUCAGGCAACUUCCCCAUCAUCAGGGCCUCAGUCUGGGCCAAGAAGUUAGCCAGGAGGAUCUUGUGAUGUAGACCUUUCCGUAUGGGGUGCUGGGUCUGGACAGGGAUGAGAAAGUCACAGGGUAUCAUCUUGGUGCCUUGGUGGAUGAGCUGGUAGAAUGCGUGUUGACCAUUGGUCCCUGGUUCCCCCCACACGAUGGGGCCUGUCUGGUGGUCCACGCGGGCCCCGGACUUGGUGAUGUACUUUCCGUUGGACUCCAUGUCACCCUGCUGGAAAUAGGCAGCAAAGCGGUACAUGUACUGGUCAUAGGGCAGCAAGGCGUGGGUCUCACAACCGUAGCAGUUGAUGUACCAGAUGCCCAGUAGAGCCAGCAGGACGGGGGCAUUCUUCUCUAGGGGCGUCUUGAGGAAGUGCUGGUCCAUCCAGUGAGCCCCGGACAGCAGCUGCUCGAAGUGGUCAAAACCUACAUGCAGAGCAAUGGAAGGUCCAGUGGCUGACCACAGCGAAUAGCGGCCACCUACCCAAUCCCAGAACUCGAACAUGUUUUGAGGGUCAAUUCCAAACUCUUUCACUUUGGCCGUGUUCGUAGACAGGGCGACAAAGUGCUUUGCAACUGCAGAUGGAUCCUUGGCUGCUUCGAGAAACCACUCCUUUGCUGUCUCUGCAUUGGUGAUGGUCUCCUGGGUGGUCAAGGUCUGGCAGAAAGACUUCAUCUUGUCCAGAACCCUGUUCACCUCCGGCAUCACAUCUUUCCCGACCACCUUGAUGGGUGUGUUGGACCGGUUCCGAAGGGCCACAUGCAGCACCGCCCGAUCCUCGGUGUAGUUGAUCUUGGAACCACUGAACAUGUUGUCCCGUGCAGCCUCCACACCUCUGGACUUGGCCAGCUCCACCAGCAUUUGCAUCACCUCCUUGUUCACAAGGUUCUUGGAGUAGUCCACCAGAAUAUGCCCAUGGUUGGUGUUGAGGUUCAAGCUGAAGUUGUUGAAGCGCUCCGGAUCCGCCUCAAAAAGUUCGCGCAGCUUGAGGUUGGUG